AACGAACGCUGGCGGCAGGCUUAACACAUGCAAGUCGAACGCUCGUAGCAAUACGGGAGUGGCGGACGGGUGAGUAACGCGUGGGAACGUGCCCUGAGGUACGGAAUAACUGAGGGAAACUUCAGCUAAUACCGUAUGAGCCCCGAGAGGGGGAAAGAUUUAUCGCCUUGGGGAGCGGCCCGCGUCGGAUUAGCUAGUUGGUGGGGUAACGGCCUACCAAGGCUUCGAUCCGUAGCUGGUCUGAGAGGACGAUCAGCCACACUGGGACUGAGACACGGCCCAGACUCCUACGGGAGGCAGCAGUGGGGAAUCUUGCGCAAUGGGGGCAACCCUGACGCAGCCAUGCCGCGUGAACGAUGAAGGCCUUAGGGUUGUAAAGUUCUUUUACCCGUGACGAUGAUGACGGUAACGGGGAAUAAGCUCCGGCUAACUUCGUGCCAGCAGCCGCGUAAU
rnacentral:rRNA from 1 species